rnacentral:rRNA from 1 species
GGGUUGUGAGGUUAAGCGACUAAGCGUACACGGUGGAUGCCCUGGCAGUCAGAGGCGAUGAAGGACGUGCUAAUCUGCGAAAAGCGUCGGUAAGGUGAUAUGAACCGUUAUAGCCGGCGAUGUCCGAAUGGGGAAACCCAGUGCAAUUCGUUGCACUAUCGUUAACUGAAUACAUAGGUUAACGAGGCGAACCGGGGGAACUGAAACAUCUAAGUACCCCGAGGAAAAGAAAUCAACCGAGAUUCCCCCAGUAGCGGCGAGCGAACGGGGAGCAGCCCGGAGUCUGAAUCAGCUUGUGUGUUAGUGGAAGCGUCUGGAAAGUCGCAGGGUACAGGGUGAUACUCCCGUACACUAAAACACACAGGUUGUGAACUCGAAGAGUAGGGCGGGACACGUGGUAUCCUGUCUGAAUAUGGGGGGACCAUCCUCCAAGGCUAAAUACUCCUGACUGACCGAUAGUGAACCAGUACCGUGAGGGAAAGGCGAAAAGAACCCCGGCGAGGGGAGUGAAAAAGAACCUGAAACCGUGUACGUACAAGCAGUAGGAGCCCACUAGUUGGGUGACUGCGUACCUUUUGUAUAAUGGGUCAGCGACUUAUAUUCUGUAGCAAGGUUAACCGUAUAGGGGAGCCGCAGGGAAACCGAGUCUUAACUGGGCGUUAAGUUGCAGGGUAUAGACCCGAAACCCGGUGAUCUAGCCAUGGGCAGGUUGAAGGUUGGGUAACACUAACUGGAGGACCGAACCGACUAAUGUUGAAAAAUUAGCGGAUGACUUGUGGCUGGGGGUGAAAGGCCAAUCAAACCGGGAGAUAGCUGGUUCUCCCCGAAAGCUAUUUAGGUAGCGCCUCGUGAACUCAUCUUCGGGGGUAGAGCACUGUUUCGGCUAGGGGGUCAUCCCGACUUACCAACCCGAUGCAAACUACGAAUACCGAAGAAUGUUAUCACGGGAGACACACGGCGGGUGCUAACGUCCGUCGUGAAGAGGGAAACAACCCAGACCGCCAGCUAAGGUCCCAAAGUCAUGGUUAAGUGGGAAACGAUGUGGGAAGGCCCAGACAGCCAGGAUGUUGGCUUAGAAGCAGCCAUCAUUUAAAGAAAGCGUAAUAGCUCACUGGUCGAGUCGGCCUGCGCGGAAGAUGUAACGGGGCUAAACCAUGCACCGAAGCUGCGGCAGCGACGCUUAUGCGUUGUUGGGUAGGGGAGCGUUCUGUAAGCCGUUGAAGGUGGCCUGUGAGGGUUGCUGGAGGUAUCAGAAGUGCGAAUGCUGACAUAAGUAACGAUAAUGCGGGUGAAAAACCCGCACGCCGGAAGACCAAGGGUUCCUGUCCAACGUUAAUCGGGGCAGGGUGAGUCGACCCCUAAGGCGAGGCCGAAAGGCGUAGUCGAUGGGAAACAGGUUAAUAUUCCUGUACUCGGUGUUACUGCGAAGGGGGGACGGAGAAGGCUAUGUUGGCCGGGCGACGGUUGUCCCGGUUUAAGCAUGUAGGCGGAUGUUCCAGGUAAAUCCGGAACGUCACUAACGCUGAGGUGUGAUGACGAGGCACUACGGUGCUGAAGUGACAAAUGCCCUGCUUCCAGGAAAAGCCUCUAAGCAUCAGGUAACAUCAAAUCGUACCCCAAACCGACACAGGUGGUCAGGUAGAGAAUACCAAGGCGCUUGAGAGAACUCGGGUGAAGGAACUAGGCAAAAUGGUGCCGUAACUUCGGGAGAAGGCACGCUGAUGGUAGGUGAAGUGACUUGCUCAUGGAGCUGAAAUCAGUCGAAGAUACCAGCUGGCUGCAACUGUUUAUUAAAAACACAGCACUGUGCAAACACGAAAGUGGACGUAUACGGUGUGACGCCUGCCCGGUGCCGGAAGGUUAAUUGAUGGGGUUAUCCGUAAGGAGAAGCUCUUGAUCGAAGCCCCGGUAAACGGCGGCCGUAACUAUAACGGUCCUAAGGUAGCGAAAUUCCUUGUCGGGUAAGUUCCGACCUGCACGAAUGGCGUAAUGAUGGCCAGGCUGUCUCCACCCGAGACUCAGUGAAAUUGAACUCGCUGUGAAGAUGCAGUGUACCCGCGGCAAGACGGAAAGACCCCGUGAACCUUUACUAUAGCUUGACACUGAACACUGGUCCUUGAUGUGUAGGAUAGGUGGGAGGCUUUGAAGUGUGGACGCCAGUCUGCAUGGAGCCAUCCUUGAAAUACCACCCUUUAAUGGCUGGUGUUCUAACGUGGGCCCCUAAUCGGGGUUGCGGACAGUGUCUGGUGGGUAGUUUGACUGGGGCGGUCUCCUCCUAAAGAGUAACGGAGGAGCACGAAGGUCAGCUAAUCCUGGUCGGACAUCAGGAGGUUAGUGCAAUGGCAUAAGCUGGCUUGACUGCGAGCGUGACGGCGCGAGCAGGUGCGAAAGCAGGUCAUAGUGAUCCGGUGGUUCUGAAUGGAAGGGCCAUCGCUCAACGGAUAAAAGGUACUCCGGGGAUAACAGGCUGAUACCGCCCAAGAGUUCAUAUCGACGGCGGUGUUUGGCACCUCGAUGUCGGCUCAUCACAUCCUGGGGCUGAAGUAGGUCCCAAGGGUAUGGCUGUUCGCCAUUUAAAGUGGUACGCGAGCUGGGUUUAGAACGUCGUGAGACAGUUCGGUCCCUAUCUGCCGUGGGCGCUGGAGAAUUGAGGGGGGCUGCUCCUAGUACGAGAGGACCGGAGUGGACGCAUCACUGGUGUUCGGGUUGUCAUGCCAAUGGCAUUGCCCGGUAGCUAAAUGCGGAAGAGAUAAGUGCUGAAAGCAUCUAAGCACGAAACUUGCCCCGAGAUGAGUUCUCCCUGACUCCCUGAGAGUCCUGAAGGAACGUUGAAGACGACGACGUUGAUAGGCCGGGUGUGUAAGCGCAGCGAUGCGUUGAGCUAACCGGUACUAAUGAACCGUGAGGCUUAACCUUACAACGCCGAAG